CAGGCUUAACACAUGCAAGUCGAGGGGCAGCAUGGUCUUAGCUUGCUAAGGCCGAUGGCGACCGGCGCACAGGUGAGUAACACGUAUCCAACCUGCCGUCUACUCUUGGACAGCCUUCUGAAAGGAAGAUUAAUACAAGAUGGCAUCAUGAGUCCGCAUGUUCACAUGAUUAAAGGUAUUCCGGUAGACGAUGGGGAUGCGUUCCAUUAGAUAGUAGGCGGGGUAACGGCCCACCUAGUCUUCGAUGGAUAGGGGUUCUGAGAGGAAGGUCCCCCACAUUGGAACUGAGACACGGUCCAAACUCCUACGGGAGGCAGCAGUGAGGAAUAUUGGUCAAUGGGCGAGAGCCUGAACCAGCCAAGUAGCGUGAAGGAUGACUGCCCUAUGGGUUGUAAACUUCUUUUAUAAAGGAAUAAAGUCGGGUAUGCAUACCCGUUUGCAUGUACUUUAUGAAUAAGGAUCGGCUAACUCCGUGCCAGCAGCCGCGGUAAUACGGAGGAUCCGAGCGUUAUCCGGAUUUAUUGGGUUUAAAGGGAGCGUAGAUGGAUGUUUAAGUCAGUUGUGAAAGUUUGCGGCUCAACCGUAAAAUUGCAGUUGAUACUGGAUAUCUUGAGUGCAGUUGAGGCAGGCGGAAUUCGUGGUGUAGCGGUGAAAUGCUUAGAUAUCACGAAGAACUCCGAUUGCGAAGGCAGCCUGCUAAGCUGCAACUGACAUUGAGGCUCGAAAGUGUGGGUAUCAAACAGGAUUAGAUACCCUGGUAGUCCACACGGUAAACGAUGAAUACUCGCUGUUUGCGAUAUACGGCAAGCGGCCAAGCGAAAGCGUUAAGUAUUCCACCUGGGGAGUACGCCGGCAACGGUGAAACUCAAAGGAAUUGACGGGGGCCCGCACAAGCGGAGGAACAUGUGGUUUAAUUCGAUGAUACGCGAGGAACCUUACCCGGGCUUAAAUUGCAGAUGAAUUACGGUGAAAGCCGUAAGCCGCAAGGCAUCUGUGAAGGUGCUGCAUGGUUGUCGUCAGCUCGUGCCGUGAGGUGUCGGCUUAAGUGCCAUAACGAGCGCAACCCUUGUUGUCAGUUACUAACAGGUUCCGCUGAGGACUCUGACAAGACUGCCAUCGUAAGAUGUGAGGAAGGUGGGGAUGACGUCAAAUCAGCACGGCCCUUACGUCCGGGGCUACACACGUGUUACAAUGGGGGGUACAGAGGGCCGCUACCACGCGAGUGGAUGCCAAUCCCCAAAACCUCUCUCAGUUCGGACUGGAGUCUGCAACCCGACUCCACGAAGCUGGAUUCGCUAGUAAUCGCGCAUCAGCCACGGCGCGGUGAAUACGUUCCCGGGCCUUGUACACACCGCCCGUCAAGCCAUGGGAGCCGGGGGUACCUGAAGUGCGUAACCGCGAGGAGCGCCCUAGGGUAAAACUGGUGACUGGGGCUAAGU
rnacentral:rRNA from 1 species